rnacentral:lncRNA from 1 species
AUGACAAAGAUAUUGUUGAGAAAAAGCUGGCUUUUCCCGGAUAAAAUGAAAAUUGGAUUCAUGUAACAGGAGAAAGAUUUCCCAUUCCAUAGCCGGAAAGAUAUGUGGCCAUGAAAGAGGGAUUAAGUGGAACAGAAUUGACUGGGUGGUAGAGUCGUGGAAACGCUUGUUUCUUCCAUAUUUUGGACCUUAGCUACAUGGAAGAAUAUGUUGCUGCUGAAACACAUUGAAAUCUUAGAUCAAAAUACAAUAUAUGGAUGGUAUGAACUGCCUAAACAAGAAUUAUUGAACAGCAAACAACCAUCAGAUAUUCACGACAUUAAUAUAACUUACAAUAGUUAUACAAAAAUAAAGUACAAAAAAAAUUAAAAAUUACGCUAACUCGGCCCAGCCCAUUGUACCCGUAACCUUUACGAUUCAUUUUUUACCCAAAUAAACUCGAAUCUAUUAAAUCCGGUAAGCCCCAAUCCGUUACCGGCCCGAAACUCAACCGUACGAUUCCAAAUUUUGCCUACGCAGCCCACCCGUUAGACACCCUUAGGUUCAAUUGAACCUUUGAAACCAUUGGCCAAAAGGCCCAUGAGUCCCACCACUUUCUCUCUGCUAGAAACUGUUCUUUACCCAAACAAAAGAUGCACCAUGAAACAUCUCGUGAACUACGACUCAUGAGGGGAGAGCUAUGAUUUUAAGGCAACGUAAAGUUUGGGAUUUGAUACAUAAAGUGGUAGUAGCUGCAGCACAAAAUACUAACUUAUUUUUGCUCAUUAACUUUGGCAUAUGACAUUUCUAGUUUAAAGAUAUACUCCAUAUAACAACAAUAACUACAUUUGAGCCUCAACCCCAAAUAAGUUAAGGUGGAUUAUAUGAAUUUUCGCUUGCCAUAUUUCUCCAUUUAAACUCAUUUAAAUCAAUAUUAUGCCAGACGGAUUCAAAAAGUUAAAAAGUAGUAGAAGUUUUGUAUAUAUUUUACGGACAUAUAAAUCUCCGGGAGGAUAAUAGACUUCUAGGAAGCAAAGAACUAAAGGUAAAAAUAGCACGGUAUAGCCAGUUUUCGGACCGGUCAUUCAAAAAUAGCCAGUGUUUACGAAAUUAAUGAAAAAUAAUUCCUAUUUUGCUGCAACAGAGACUGGUCCAACAUAAUAUACUGGAGUCGGUGCACCCGUGUAUGAACUCCAGCAUAUUAUGAUGGACCGGUAUACUUUGCUGACUCCGGUAUAAUAUACUGGAAACUGGAGCACCGAUGUUCCAAACUCCAGUAUAUUAUACUGGACAAUUAUACUUGUCGGAACUCCAUCAUAUUAUGAUGGAGUUCCCGCAUACUUAUCCUAGAACUCUAGUAUAAUAUGUUGGAUUUCAAGCAUACUUAUACUAGAACUCCAGUUUAAUAUACUGGCGUAUUUUUCGAGUUUUGAACAAUGUUUUCACUCGAAUUUAUCUUUCCAUGAAAAAUGACUAAAUUUGAAUUACUUAUAAAAUUGGACUAUUUUUUAGCCAAUUGUAAAUCUAGCUAUUUUUUAAUUUUGCACGACCUAAAGUAACGCACUAACAACAUUGGCCCUUAUUACCGUACUAUGAAUGGCCCUAACUAGAUUUAUUUUUUCUUCUGGUACCUCAGAUAGACUAAAUACAGGGGCAUUUGCAUCUAUGCCUGUUUUUUGUGACAUAUUUUAAUUUGUGUCCGCUUUACAAAAACAAUUGCAAGCAUACUCGCUUUUUUUUACAUAACUUCAGCCCACUGGGCUAAAGUUUUUCGAAAAACUUCAGCUGAAAUUUUUGUCUUUGUGACCUAAGCUCUAGUUAUAAAAUAAAACUUAAGCUCUAGAGCUUAAGUUUUCCAGUUAUAAAAUAAAACUUAAGCUCUAGAGCUGAAGUUUUUAUGUUGUAACUGGAAAACUUCAGCGUUAGAGCUGAAGUUUUUACCACCUAUUAAUAUUACAUAUUAGAGCUGAAGUUUUUCAGUUACAAUAAUUUGUGUCUGGCCAAGCUUUUCAGAAAGUGCUUUCAAGUAUCAAAUUACAAAUAAAGACAUGAAUAAUUCUACUUAAUAGUUAAUAUUAUUAAUAAAUAAAUAAUCUCAAAAUUUUGUUAUUACAGGCAUUAAUUAAAUCUUUUCAUUUUAUUUAUGUAAAAUAUGAAAAUAAAAUUAAAAAGUACAUAUUUAUUUUAAUAUAAGUUAAAUAUAUUAAAAUCAUUUAGUAAAUAUAAAAGCAUACUUGUAAGAAAUAAAAAAAAUUGAAAAAAGAUAUUCAAUAUAUGUUAUAUACAUCUAAAAUAUAAUAUUUUACUUAUAUAUACAGUAUAAUUCGACAAAGGGUAGUCAAUUGAUCAUUCUUAACAAAAAUUGGCUUCGCCCGAGGGACUCACUAUAUAUUAGGAUUUCUUCUAUACAUAGAAGUCAAAGACACAUGGUUAAAGAAAAAUAAAUAAUUCUAUUCAUUCUACCAUAACCUUUACGGUCAUAUGUUAAGUAGACUCAGUUUAUACAUACAUAGCUUAAACAAAUUACGAAUAUACAUUUAUUAAACUUACUCUAAUAUAAAGUUCUGAAUCUGUCUCUGAUUAAAUUAUUUACGAUAAACGGAGGUGUUAGGUUUUUCAGUUAGUGACAUGCAUACAUGAAUCUGAAUCCGUCUCUGAUUAACGUAUUUACGAUAAAAGGAUAUGUUAGGUUUUUCAGUUAGUGACAUGCAUGCAUGAAUAGAAAAGGGGAGGCAGUUUUUCUCGUGUGGUUGCCAAAGUCUGAAAGCAACUGACUGCACUUUCUGGAGGACACUGUCUUUCUCUGCACUCCUCUCUGUAUACGGAUUCAGGAUUUAGAUCAUAUGGAAUUAAUGCUCAAGGUUUUUAACAUUAGAUAUAUUAUAUUUUAAAAUUAUGGGUUCAUAUUUAUUGUUUUUGUAAUUUUAAUGAAUAUUUAUAUAUAAUUUUUUACUCCGCAUAAAAAAUUAAUGGUUUAAUUAUGAUUGUCUAACGGGCCGGGUCAGCCCAUUUCCAGACUAGCCCAGACUGGUUAAAACCAGAAUCAACCCGAACCGGUAGAAAGGGGUCGGGUAGAGCUGGGUUAAAGGGGUAGGGGGUUUGGUCCGUUCACCUUGGGGCUACCGGUUAACCGGACCUGUCAAGCCCGGUCAACGAUUUUUACUGUACAACCGGUUAACCGACCCGGUCCAGACCAGUAUAACGACUACUUAAUUUUUAUUUGUUUAAUAAUAUGGCCUUUUAAUUUACUCUUUUUUCCGUUAAUUUACUUGUUGUUAAAUGUAAGCCUUUCAAUUUGUAAGUUUGAAUUUUGAAAUAAAUGUAGCACUUGCAAUUCAUAAGUGCAAUUUUUUUUGCAUUUUCAUGGUAUUCUUUCCAGAUUAUGAACACCCGAUCGGAUCUGUCAAGAACGAGCUGACGAUUACAAGGGACAGCUGACUGCAGUCCCCGAGCCCGCAAGCCAAAAAAAAGUUUGACUUGAACCUACCUUUGCUAAGAGAAGAGAGAGAAGGGAAAGACAGAUGGCAGAAAGAAAUCCUUCCAACCGCGGAAUUGAACACAAGACUGACUUCGGCCAGGUUCUUUUAUCAAUCAGAAGAAAGAAAUCCUUCCAACCGCAGAAUUGUUCCCCUUUGGACACGAACACUAUUCCGUUCUCAGCGGAAACCCUCCUUAGAGAUUGAACGGCAAUAAGAUAAGUCAAUGUUCAAUCUAAGAAUGACAAAGACAUUGUUGAGAAAAAGAUAGCUUUUCCCGGAUGAAAUGAAAAUUGGAUUCAUGUAACAGGAGAAAGAUUUUCCAUUCCUUAGCCAGAAAGAUAUGUAGCAAUGAAAGAGGGAUUAAGUGGAACAAAAUUGACUGGGUGGUAGAGUCGUGGAAACACUUGUUUCUUUCAUAUUUUGGACCUUAGCUCCAUGGAAGAAUAUGUUACUGCUGAAACACGGAAGAAUUGAAUUUCACUAAUUAUAUUGCUCAGCAAAAAUAGCCAAUUAUUAAUUGCAUAAAGAUAGUUUUAUUCGUUCUUCAAUUCUUAUAUUUCUAAUACAAUGUAUGGAUGGUAUGAACUGCCUAAACAAGAAUUCUUGAACAGCAAACAACC